CCAAGAAACACUGUACUCAGGGCCAGAAGCGCAGGCUGCAGCGUCUGUUACAGAUGAAUUCUGAAAGAAGAUGCCAGGUAGGGCACCUCAGGGCCUAGAGGGCCUCACGGGAAGGGCUCAGGCCUGUCUGCCUUUACCAAGUACAUGUUCACUCUCUUAGGUGUUUGUAGGGGAGUGGCCAAGAUGGCCACGUGGCUCAGGUGUGGAAUGAAGCUAGACCAGGCGGAAGCCGAAGGGUCGGCCUCUCCAGGCAGGAGAGAAGGAUGGUCCAAGGGCAGGUGCAGGCCGGAAUGUCUGGAAAGCAUUUCUGGUGUGGGAUUGUCAGUUUGGUGACGUGGACUCUGGGAAGCAAGGGGACAGGGGACAGCAGGCAGAGCUGAGCUGCUGCCCACAGAGCAGGCUCCACUGCCCAGAGGCUAAGCGGUGUCACCAAGCGGCGGACAGCUGGCAGGUCAGGAAGAAGUGCCACUCCAGCCUGGGCAACAGAGUGAGACCCCAUCUCUUAAGAAAAAGGAAGAAGCAGCACCAGAAGCUGCGCCCCCUAGUCUCAACUGUCUGGGAGGCUGAGGCAGGAGGUUGCUUGAGGUCAGGAGGUGAAGGCCGCAGUGGGCUGUGAUGGCACCACUGCACUCCAGCCUGGACGGCAGCCCGAGACCCUGUCUGUUUUUUUAAAAAAAAAAGGAACACUAAACUUUGAUGUAUGGAUACUUUAAUAAAUUUCCUGUAUCUUUUUGGAAAUUUUUAUUGAUGAAACAUAAGUGGCAAAGCACUAUGAACUGCCUGUGGUUGCUUAUCUUAGGUAUUUUACAUGUAAAUAAAAUGCUGGUUGCAUCUUAAAUGCCACAAGUAUUUUACUUGAGGUCCUAAACGGGGACGGAGCUGCUUCUAGGGAAGAUUGUGCCAUCUUCGGUGUCCUGGGUGGCUUUUGUUAAACCCAUGGAUCGAUUCCCCGCAUCGUCAGUUAUCGGUUACAUGAAAUAAGUAGCUUUAAGAGAAAUUAAUGGGUUUGGAGUGGUUCUGUCCCUGAAUUGUGCCUUGAUGAACUCUUAGCCAAAAACUGGCUCAGAUCCAAGCUUCUCCCUUUGUGCUCUGCCUUUAAACACAAAGCUACGUCUCUCACAGAAACUCUUGCCUUUCAGAAGUCCCCACGAGAAGAAAAAGAAGAGGCGGUCCCGGUCGCGGACCAAGUCCAAGGCCAGGUCUCAGUCGGUGUCACCCAGCAAGCAGGCAGCUCCCCGGCCCGCAGCCCCCUCGGCCCCCGCGGCCCCCUCGGCCCACUCGGCCAGCGUCUCCCCUGUGGAGAGUCGGGGCUCCAGCCAGGAGCGCUCCAGGGGAGUCUCUCAGGAAAAAGAAGCCCAGAUCUCUUCCGCAAUCGUUUCUUCCGUGCAGAGCAAAAUCACUCAGGAUCUCAUGGCCAAAGUCAGAGCAAUGCUUGCAGCUUCCAAAAACCUGCAAACCAGCGCCUCCUGAGACGGGGCCAGCGGAGGCAGAGCCGGGAGGCUGCGUGGGCUUCUGGGCAGGCUCACAUGGACGCUGGCCACACCAUCCACCUGGCCGCCUCCGUGGACCCUUGGUGGCUUUUGUAAAUUAAUUUUUGAUGACAUUUUAAGUUUCAAGAUUUCUGACCAGCAGUCUCUUACCUGUAUAUUUGUAAAUAUAUCAUG
rnacentral:sRNA from 1 species